AGAGUUUGAUCCUGGCUCAGAUUGAACGCUGGCGGCAGGCCUAACACAUGCAAGUCGAGCGGUAGCACAGAGAGCUUGCUCUCGGGUGACGAGCGGCGGACGGGUGAGUAAUGUCUGGGAAACUGCCUGAUGGAGGGGGAUAACUACUGGAAACGGUAGCUAAUACCGCAUAACGUCGCAAGACCAAAGUGGGGGACCUUCGGGCCUCAUGCCAUCAGAUGUGCCCAGAUGGGAUUAGCUAGUAGGUGGGGUAAUGGCUCACCUAGGCGACGAUCCCUAGCUGGUCUGAGAGGAUGACCAGCCACACUGGAACUGAGACACGGUCCAGACUCCUACGGGAGGCAGCAGUGGGGAAUAUUGCACAAUGGGCGCAAGCCUGAUGCAGCCAUGCCGCGUGUAUGAAGAAGGCCUUCGGGUUGUAAAGUACUUUCAGCGAGGAGGAAGGCAUUAAGGUUAAUAACCUUGGUGAUUGACGUUACUCGCAGAAGAAGCACCGGCUAACUCCGUGCCAGCAGCCGCGGUAAUACGGAGGGUGCAAGCGUUAAUCGGAAUUACUGGGCGUAAAGCGCACGCAGGCGGUCUGUCAAGUCGGAUGUGAAAUCCCCGGGCUCAACCUGGGAACUGCAUUCAAAACUGGCAGGCUAGAGUCUUGUAGAGGGGGGUAGAAUUCCAGGUGUAGCGGUGAAAUGCGUAGAGAUCUGGAGGAAUACCGGUGGCGAAGGCGGCCCCCUGGACAAAGACUGACGCUCAGGUGCGAAAGCGUGGGGAGCAAACAGGAUUAGAUACCCUGGUAGUCCACGCCGUAAACGAUGUCGACUUGGAGGUUGUGCCCUUGAGGCGUGGCUUCCGGAGCUAACGCGUUAAGUCGACCGCCUGGGGAGUACGGCCGCAAGGUUAAAACUCAAAUGAAUUGACGGGGGCCCGCACAAGCGGUGGAGCAUGUGGUUUAAUUCGAUGCAACGCGAAGAACCUUACCUACUCUUGACAUCCAGAGAACUUAGCAGAGAUGCUUUGGUGCCUUCGGGAACUCUGAGACAGGUGCUGCAUGGCUGUCGUCAGCUCGUGUUGUGAAAUGUUGGGUUAAGUCCCGCAACGAGCGCAACCCUUAUCCUUUGUUGCCAGCGGUCCGGCCGGGAACUCAAAGGAGACUGCCAGUGAUAAACUGGAGGAAGGUGGGGAUGACGUCAAGUCAUCAUGGCCCUUACGAGUAGGGCUACACACGUGCUACAAUGGCAUAUACAAAGAGAAGCGACCUCGCGAGAGCAAGCGGACCUCAUAAAGUAUGUCGUAGUCCGGAUUGGAGUCUGCAACUCGACUCCAUGAAGUCGGAAUCGCUAGUAAUCGUAGAUCAGAAUGCUACGGUGAAUACGUUCCCGGGCCUUGUACACACCGCCCGUCACACCAUGGGAGUGGGUUGCAAAAGAAGUAGGUAGCUUAACCUUCGGGAGGGCGCUUACC
rnacentral:rRNA from 1 species